rnacentral:piRNA from 1 species
CCCGGGGCAACUUCUUCCGUGUGGUUGUGU